CGCUGCACGCUCUGUCUGUUAACACGUUUGGUCUCUGUGCCUUGACGCAAGUUGUUUUCCCUUUCUAUUUUUUUCGUUUGAGGAUUUGGACUGCAAGCAAGAUGUUCUACACAAUACAACUCACCUGGGACCAAUUGUUCUCAUUGUAUGUAGAUCUGUGGGACCCUAAACAUGCUCCAGCCACUGAGGAUUCUCUUCAGACCGAAGUGGAUGGUCUCACGGUCCUCCGCCAGCUAUGUGUCCAGGAUGAGGCACUUGAAUAAGAUAAAGGAGGAGGAUGAGGCGUGUCGAGCAGCAUUGCAGUCUGGGAAUAUUUUCCUCUAUCACAAACUGGCUCCUCUAUUGCGGCGGACUGACAGUGGAAUAUACCAGCUCCCAGCUCUCCAGACCAAAGAUGUAGAAGAGAUUCUGGAAAAGCUUGGAGAGGACAAGGAGAUGGUGAAGGAAUCCAUUCUCAUCAACUGCACUGAACAGAACGAAGCACAGUUCUCCUUUGAUGUUGGUACGAGAACAUCCAGACAUGGGCGAUUGAGCAGGCUGCUGUGGAGGAGCUGUGUAGAGGAACCUUCGUAGACCUGAGGAAAGCCUUCUUCCUACUGAGAGGGUCUGAGGCACCGCUUGUAGCCAGAGGGCAGGCUCUCCUUCGCUGGCACCAGACCAAUGGCUUCUGCAGCUCCACUGGGCAGCCCACCCAAAGGAACCAGUCUGGCAGUCAGCGUUUGUGUCACAGCAGUGGGAUCACUUAUUACCCUAAGAUGUCUCCGGUGGUGAUCGUACUGGUGUCUGAUGGGAAACGGUGUUUGCUGGGGAGGCAGUCCACCUUUCCACGGGGGAUGUACAGUGCACUGGCAGGCUUCUGUGACAUUGGUGAGACCAUGGAGGAGGCACUCUGCAGGGAGAUAGCUGAGGAGGUGGGGCUGGAGGUAGAGUCUAUCCAGUACUCAGGCUCUCAGCACUGGCCCUUCCCACAGAGCUCCUUCAUGGUGGCCUGUCACGCCACCGUCAACCCAGACAAGACACACGUCAGUGUGGAUAAGGUGGAGUUAGAGGAUGCACGGUGGUUCAGCCUAGAGGAAGUCCAAGAGGCGCUGACGAUCAAGGCACCACCACGGAACAACAAAGGAGAGCCUACUGUGUUCUGGGUCCCACCAAACUACGCCAUAGCUAACCGGUUGAUCCAGGAAUGGGCAAAUCAACAACACCUCAAAUCAUAGCAAGAUUGGUGGACAACAGAGAGCAUCAAAGCUGCAAAUACACCACACAGAUGAUUUUAGAAGACCAGGCAGGAACACUGUACUGUUUAAGUGCUUGGUAAUACAUACAGACGGGAAUGAAACAUACAGGUCAAGAGCAGACAUGGGGGGAACUGACAGGAAAUUCAUCUCACUUGAGGAAAAAAGUGUUUGACCAGGACAUUGUGUUUCAAGAGAUACUGUAAUACCAUCAAAGGGCUUGGCUUAUAGCUAACAUUUUUUGUUAGUGUGUAUAUAUAUAUAUAUAUACACACUAUGUAAAGGACAUUUUUGCAUACAUUUAAUUGUGUGAUCACUAGGCCUUUAUGAAGUUUAAACUGUUGAUUUUGUUUAAAUACAGUAACUACCUCCACAGUAUUGCAAUGAUUCUCAAAAUGAUUUACAAAGUGAAUGGUUGUAAUAAGUGUAUCAGUACUGUAAUAAUAUCAUACUUGUAUGUACAGAUAACUCAAUUAAUAAAACCUAAUGUUUUUUUAAGCCUGA